GACGAACGCUGGCGGCGUGCUUAACACAUGCAAGUCGAACGGGAACCUUUAUUUCGGUAAAGGUGAGAGUGGCAAACGGGUGAGUAACACGUAGGCAACCUGCCGACAGGAUGGGGACAACAUUCCGAAAGGAAUGCUAAUACCGAAUGGAGUCCGGGGAUGGCAUCAUCCACGGAUAAAAGAUGGCCUCUGAAUAUGCUAUCGCCUGUCGAUGGGCCUGCGUCUGAUUAGCCAGUUGGCGGGGUAACGGCUCACCAAAGCGACGAUCAGUAGCCGGUCUGAGAGGAUGAACGGCCACAUUGGGACUGAGACACGGCCCAGACUCCUACGGGAGGCAGCAAUGGGGAAUCUUCCACAAUGGGCGAAAGCCUGAUGGAGCAACGCCGCGUGAGUGAAGAAGGUCUUCGGAUCGUAAAGCUCUGUUGCACGGGACGAAAACCGAGCUUGAGAAUAUUGAGUUUGGGUGACGGUACCGAGCGAGGAAGCCACGGCUAACUACGUGCCAGCAGCCGCGGUAAUACGUAGGUGGCGAGCGUUGUCCGGAAUUAUUGGGCGUAAAGGGAGCGCAGGCGGACAUAUAAGUCCAUCUUAAAAGUGCGGGGCUCAAUCCCGUGAGGGGAUGGAAACUGUAUGCCUUGAGUGCAGGAGAGGGAAGCGGAAUUCCCAGUGUAGCGGUGAAAUGCGUAGAUAUUGGGAGGAACACCAGUGGCGAAGCGGCUUUCUGGACUGUAACUGACGCUGAGGCUCGAAAGCCAGGGGAGCGAACGGG
rnacentral:rRNA from 1 species